rnacentral:rRNA from 1 species
UACAGAGGUCUCAAGCGUUGUUCGGAUUCAUUGGGCGUAAAGGGUGCGUAGGCGGCGCGGUAAGUCGGGUGUGAAAUCUUGGAGCUUAACUCCGAAACUGCAUUCGAUACUGCCGUGCUUGAGGACUGGAGAGGAGACUGGAAUUUACGGUGUAGCGGUGAAAUGCGUAGAUAUCGUAAGGAAGACCAGUGGCGAAGGCGGGUCUCUGGACCGUAACUGACGCUGAGGAGCUAAAGCAUGGGGGAGCGAACAGGACUUAGAAACCC